GACGAACGCUGGCGGCGUGCUUAACACAUGCAAGUCGAGCGAGGCCCCUCCUUCGGGAGGGUGUCCUAGCGGCGAACGGGUGAGUAACACGUGGGCAACCUGCCCUCAGCUCUGGGAUAACUCCGGGAAACCGGGGCUAAUGCCGGAUACGACCUCCACGGGCAUCUGCGGAGGUGGAAAGUUUUUCGGCUGAGGAUGGGCCCGCGGCCUAUCAGCUAGUUGGUGGGGUAGUGGCCCACCAAGGCGACGACGGGUAGCCGGCCUGAGAGGGCGACCGGCCACACUGGGACUGAGACACGGCCCAGACUCCUACGGGAGGCAGCAGUGGGGAAUAUUGCGCAAUGGGCGAAAGCCUGACGCAGCGACGCCGCGUGAGGGACGAAGGCCUUCGGGUUGCAAACCUCUUUCAGCAGGGACGAAGCGAAAGUGACGGUACCUGCAGAAGAAGCACCGGCCAACUACGUG
rnacentral:rRNA from 1 species